UGCUGCUCUGGCUUCAGCUCUGAGAUCAAACUCCUCACACCUGAGAGAACUGAAUCUGUCUGGGAAUAAACUAGGAGAUUCAGUGAAGCUGCUUUCUGAUGUACUACAGAAUCCUCACUGUAAACUGGAGAAACUGAGGUUGUAUAAUUGUGGCAUCAGAGAUGAAGGUUGUACUGCUUUGGUUUCAGCUCUGAGAUCAAAUCCCUCACACCUGAGAGAACUGGAUCUGUCUGGAAAUAAACUACGAAAAUCUGAAGUGAAGUUACUCUCUGAUCUGAAGGAUGAUCCACAUUACAAACUGGAGACAUUAUACUAUUGACUCUCAGUAUUUAGACAUCAGUCCAGUUUCCUCAGGAUGAGCUGAUGGUGAAUAAGGAGCCGCUACAGAGACGUCACAGUCACACAAUCAACAGAAACUGCGUGAUUGGGACCCCAUAAAAUGAUGUUAAAAAAGGAUGUUCAUUUGGGGUUCAUUUUUCUGACCGACUCCCAACGCUCGUUAACCAAUCAUUGACUGUUAAUCGACAAAAUUAGAAUGUUCAAUUAGAUUUAAAUUAAAUUGGAAUGGAUAAGUUUAUGUGAACCAUCAAAAGACCCAUUAAA